AUGUGUAAGCUUCACUUCUUUGUCUUUUCAGAGUUGAAAUGCUUCGAUUACUGUAAAUAUCUAUACUUCCAAGUUUUACAGGUUAAUAAUUCUGAGAUAUGUUUCAUAAGCUUCCUUGGAGAGUCUGGCAGGAUGGAACACCAUUUGCCUAUAGUGGUGGCCGAUCUAUUCAUGUUUGGUGUGGCUUUCUCUCCUGCAUUUCAUUCUCUCUCUCAUUCCUGUCCGUUGGGUGCCUAUUCAUAAUAAAUGGUCUGCAUGCAAGCUCUUUUUCCAGUUUAUGCAUUCCGAGUACUUCAAGCUAAGACACAGGUAAUUUGUUUUACUAAUUAUUAUAUCCCCAUCUUCUAGUAAUAUAUCUGACAGAGUAUAUAUAUAUAUAUAUAUAUAUGUAAUCAAUGAUGAUAAAACUGAAAUUUUGUUCUUGUAUUUUUACAUUGCCUAAAGUGUGCUUGGGUUAAAGGGAGUUAAGAAUUUUUUUUUUUUUUCACAAUUGAGAAACUGUAAUGAUGCUUACUUGUUGCCAUGGAUGUGUUGCCUUGGAAGCUGAGGAAUUGGACAGGGUUUAAUCCAUUCUGGUCAUUUCUAGGGGUGUUAAAUGGGCACACACAUCCAGAAAAUGUCUAAUUCCUUGAUGCUAAAAUCAAUGUAAUCAGUGCUAUUAUUUUCUAAUUGUAAAAGCCAUAGUCCUAUUACUGAAAUUUUAACACAAUUUUUAUCAAUCAUUCCUUUUUCCCCCUAGUAUAAAGUGAAUACUGUAGUAAAUUUCUUGCUUUUUCAGAUAUGGAUAAUUAUUUUUAAGCAACUGGAUAGCUCAUACUCUAAAUUGAAAUAAGCCCAUCUUAUUGAUCCACAUCCAAUUUGUCAUCAGAUAGAGAUCAGCCUUUAAGAAUAGAAUCAUAACUAGGAUUAAUUAAAACAAUUUAAGAAGAUCUUGUAAGGGAAGCCAAACAGUGAAAAGCUGUUGAAAUUGAACCUUCUCUGUGUUACUUCCUCAUCAAUGUUUUCAACGCCUGUGGGCUUUCUGGCAAUAAAGUGUUCUGGUGUCAAGGAUUACA
rnacentral:lncRNA from 13 species